CAUAAAGUUAUAUGUUGUCUGGAUUUGUUUCAAAAUAACACAUAUCAUAAGAAGUGAAUGGAGAUGGAGAUGAAAAGGAUGGGCCAUGGUUUUUAACUGUUGCAGGAGAAACGUAGUGUCUGGAGCCAAAGACUUGUAAAAAAUUAUUGGAAAUCAAUUUGAAUUGAGUGAAUGCUAUCCAUCAACUUUUUCUCUGCAAGAGGGGUUAAGAUCCUGUAUGUUAGAAAGAGGUGAGAAACCAGACACCUGAGAUGGAAUUAAAGAACCC